GCUACAAAGUCAAACACGCAAGACUUCAGCAAGCAUUCUUCGCAUUUCUUACCCUUUCACUGGUGGAACCGACACGUCUCGAAAGAGCUUCUUUCCGAUUGGGCGAUGGACAUCACAGUACAGCUCCCAAAGACGCCGGAGUACCACAAGCGGCCAUCCUGCGCUGCGACAUCAUUUAAUUCAAAAUGGUGCAUGAAACAAGGAACAGGAAGAGAGAGAAAUCGCAAAGUGUCUGGAAGGGAGGAACCGGAAUCUCC